CUUCUUCGAUCUGCUGGGGACAGAUGAAAUGGAUGUGGCUGUCGAUCGCCCCCGGCGUCAGGAUCAUUCCUUCGCCGGCGAUGAUCUCCGUGCCCGGCCCGAUCACGAUGUCGACCCCUGGUUGGACGUUCGGGUUUCCGGCUUUGCCGAUUGCGGCGAUGCGCUGCCCCCGGAUUCCGACGUCGGCCUUCACGAUGCCCCAGUGAUCGAGGAUCAGCGCGUUCGUGAUCACGACGUCCAUCGCCCCUUCGGCGCGGGUGGCCUGGCUCUGGCCCAUGCCAUCGCGGAUAG
rnacentral:sRNA from 1 species